rnacentral:rRNA from 1 species
UACGUAGGGUGCAAGCGUUAAUCGGAAUUACUGGGCGUAAAGCGUGCGCAGGCGGUGAUGUAAGACCGAUGUGAAGUCCCCGGGCUUAACCUGGGAACUGCAUUUGUGACUGCAUCGCUGGAGUGCGGCAGAGGGGGAUGGAAUUCCGCGUGUAGCAGUGAAAUGCGUAGAUAUGCGGAGGAACACCGAUGGCGAAGGCAAUCCCCUGGGCCUGCACUGACGCUCAUGCACGAAAGCGUGGGGAGCAAACAGG